rnacentral:lncRNA from 1 species
CCUAAGUUGAGAUUUGUAAUCAGCGAAUCAGGCAAGUAUCUUACCUUUGCAUUUCCUUUAUGCAAUGGACAUGAGUAAGAAGUUUCAGAAUUAUUCUAUUCCUGUACAGAUUAUGUACGCUUUGAUUAUCAACAUGUUAGCUCAGAUAUAUAUUCUGUUAAGUUGAUUUCUAAAUGGUUAUACAAGUGUCCCCACUUGGAUAAUCAUGGCAUUUAUUCACAUGUUGAUAUACCUUUGUCAAUUACCCGUAUACAUAUAUGUUGAAUUACAUAUUAUUGUUGAGCAAGAUUAAAAACCUUCGGGUUUGGAACCAGGCAUGUAUGAACAUCCCGAUAAUGGGAAAAUUUUUAUGCGCUUCGGCGGACAAAGGGUGAGCGAUGAAUUUCGUUCAAGUUAUGUAGUAUUGAUCAAUACAGGGUACAACGGGGCUGAUCACCCUCCGUGCCCGUAAGUUAUGACGGUUUGCGGAUGAAUUUCUGCUAAACCUUUUCGAAAAUGAAAAACAAUGUUCAUAGUAUGUUUCUUAAACCCUAUUCAUGGGUGGAGCCUAAUUUCAAGAAAUUGAAAGAGAGUUGUUAUGUGAAUCUUUUAUCAGUACAGAUUACUUCACAACUUUUGAUUCGUUGUAGAAGUGUUAUGUAAAGAGAAUACUUAUAUUCUUUCAGCUUAUAUAUAUAAUUGCUAUUACUUGCUGGGCACUCAAAUGCUCAUCCUUGCUUAAAUUAAAUGUUUUCAGUUAUGUAUGAGCAACCUGAAGGCUCAGGCACGAACAAAGGAAAAGGAAAGCUGAUCGAAUAAGUGUGUAUUAUGAGUUAAUGGUUAUAGUUGUAUUGGUAUCUAUUCAAGUAUUGUAAGGAAUGUAUUUGAAGGUCACGUACCUGGGGAAGUAAACUUUGAUGUAUGUAAAUUAAGUUCGAAUGUAUUAUUAUUUAGUAUUAUUCAGCUUAAAGAAAUGGUAUCGUGGAGAACCGAGUUCGGGUUUCAAGUAUCCGGAUUUGGGGUCGCCACAGUAUAUAUUACUUAACAACUCUUAAGGGCAUUAAUUACUAUAACAGAAUUACCUGUAAAAUAAGAGAAGAAAAGCAAAAUUAAAAUCAAGUACAAACCAGAGCCUACUAUGUCAGCGAAAGAGAGUGUUUCAGAAUUGUUAACAAAAAGCAUACAGCUAAAAUUGACAGUAUGUAGUUGCUGUAAACCAUAUUACUACUUUGAGAAUAUCAAAAAUUAAAAUGUCGCAUUCAAAUUCACUAAUUACAAUCUAAAAGCAAUCAACGAACACAUCUAGAUGGAUUAGAGUUCAUCAACUAGUAUUAGAUACUGUUUACAAUGGAAGCAAAAUCAUUCUGCUUCUUGCAAACAAAUAUCUCAAAUCCAACAAUUUCAUUCCUAUAUCAACGAACAAAUAAAUACCCAUAAUAGUCUUUCAUAAAAUCUAUUCUGCCUCUGGCAAAAGUUACAAUUUUUCAAGCCCAACAAACGCUCAAAAAAUAUGAAAAACACAAAAAAAAUGGUUUUCAGCUUCCUCAACCAAUUUCCUUUUCCCCAACACUUGGUUUUCCCAAAAAAAAUGGUUUUGCAACUUCAUCCAGGCUAAUACCAUCCAGGAAACUCAAGUCAAAUGUAUCAUCAUCCGUGCUAAUAAUAAGCAUAGCAUCCAGGAAACUCAAGUCAAAUAUAUUAUCAUUUCAUCCCAAUAACGUUCACCAUGAUUUUGGAGAUUAUUAGAAUUGAAAUCUCCCAACUGCCCGUAGUCCAUCAUUGCGUCCUUGAAACCGCCCAAUCAACUGCCUGUGGCAUUAGAAAAUGACUGCUGCAGGUAGGAACCGCCACAUUGUCACUAGAUCAAGUUUAUCAUGCUCUAAAAUCUUGAGCUGCCCAAAAAUGAGGACGCCAGCUGCACUUGUGAAAUACUGCAAAGCAGUCAAUGCUCCAGGGUAAGGAAAUUUCAUGACAGCCUAUUUGUUGAUAAUGGAGAGCAAUGAUGCUGAAAGGCAAUAUCCGGCAGCAAUACCAUAGACUGAAACUUAAUUGCUGAAGUAAGCCACUAUACCAUGUUGCUUGGUGUUAACGCCAAGAUCUUUCUCCACGUCCCAAUUACGUAAGACGUCCUGAUCCUGCACAGUAAACACGGUCAACACCGAAAGCUUGACGGCGGUUCCGUCGGGGGAUAGCUCAGGCGUGAGAAUUAGUACGUGUUCACAAGGUUAACAAUGGAGGAAUAUAUGGUCUAGUGUAUUGAGAGAGAUAAUAAAUCUCAGUUGUGUGUGUAUGGGAGAAUAUGAAUAAUCAAUAUAUGUGAGAACGUACCUCCAUACGAUGGCUUCCUUGCUAAGUUAUAUUACCUUUGCUUGGAUUACUGUGCCACCCACUACUACCUGACACCCCCUCUGAUCUGAUGGGCUCUGCCGACUAUAUCAGGUUUAUCUACUGCUUUUGGCCACUGUUUUCUACCGCCGGCCGGUUAUGAUCCCAUCCACAUUAAUGCAUGGCAGGAGCCUUGGUCAACUGUCAUGCUUUUUCAUCAUCACAAGUCAAAGUAACAGAUAUUAAAAUAUCUAAUGGGUCGAUCCACUGGACUGACCCGGUCCAAUAGGAUUAAAUAAAGUUGACACAAUAAAUGGGCUCAAAGAGUCCCAUGGCUUAAUAAUAAAAGCCCAACAGAUUAUACUGAUAAAUGGGCCCAAUUUAUCCGGCCCAAAAUAGGAGAAAUAUUAUGACCCAACACUUGGGUUUCAUUGGAAAGGGAAGGGAAGCUGAACUUUUCUGGGCAUCACCAUCGGGAUUUUCCACAUCAUUAGACAUCUAAAUCUGAGAAAGAAAAAAGAACUGCUAAUAUUAACUUUUUAUAUACUAUAUAUUAUUAUAUUUAUCAAAAAAAAAAAGUAUAGUAGAUCUGAUCUUGGGCUUCUUUUCUGCAUGAGAAGACAAAACAGAAAAUUGACCUACAGUCUUUCAUUUCAACUAAUAAAUUAUUCACAACUGAUUAAUUUUUAUAAAAUUCAAAAGAGAGAAUAGAAGACUUAAUCAUGGUCAAGUAUUAUAAUAGUUUGACAACUGGGAUAGAAUGAAACCCACUCUAGUAUUGGGAGGGAAUCAUGGAAACUGGGUGAGUAGGCAGGGCACCUGCAACCUACAUGAGUUGUGUUACCCUAACCUUGCUGUUCCCUGACCCUGAGGUAGAGUUGUUCCUGUCCCAACCCUGACAAAUCAUAAGCAGCCUACUCCUAGAACUUAAGUUGGCCUAGUAAUCAUGGACAAUAUCAAUUUGGCAAUAGAGCUAGAAUAAACUCUUUUCCAUCCUAAACUUUGAAAAUAAAAAAUAUAUAAUUUAUGCUUUUAGGAUAAUGCUUACUGAUAUCGUGUUUGAAUUGCUUUAAAAGCAUCAUUUUUAAUAUUGUUUGCGCUUUUAUGAUUAUGCCACUGCUAUCACACACUAUUAUCCCACGUUGUCUGUUCAAAACUUUGUUUAACUUUAUACUUGAACUUGGUUUAAUACUCCCUCCAUUUAAAAAAAAAGUCCCAUUGCAAAAUUUUCAGGUACUAAAGAUAUGUUUUGUUUCAUGUUUACUCAUAACGAUAAUAAGAUGUUAGUUUAGCAGCGAUGAUAUGAUAAUGAAAUUAUAAUAAUAAAUUAUCUUCGUUUUUUUGUGCAAAUGGGGCUCUUUUUAUGAAACUAUUUAUGCUACUAUGAUUACAACACUGUAAUCUCACACCGUCUUUCAAGACAUUAUUUCACUCUAUACUUCUAACUCUUGGUCGCAAUAUCUAGCGCAGCUCUCUUCUCCAUAAAAUUAUCCGUCAUUCUUUUACAAAUUUACUAUGAACUUUCAUCUCAAUUAUGUUGUUUUCCAAAGAAACAUUACCAUCGUAAUUUGUAUGGAUCCUCUACCUAAAGGUAAGUUACACAAUCAAUAAGGUGUACAAUGGGCUUAUAUAUCUUCCUUUUUUAUAUUUUUAUACGCUUUUCUUUCUUUCCCUUUAAUGUUUGCUUAUAAAAUUAGCUAUAAAGCAACAAACUGCAAUCUGAAUGUAGAACUAAUUCACUAAUCAAUGCAAAACAUAUAUAAGCAAAGACGGACUACAACACAGCCAAACGAUCCUAAAAUCCACAAAUAUGCGACCAACAAUAACAGAUAAAUCUGAAUCAUAAUAAAUUGACAAAAUAAACAGUAAGAUAUUUGUACCAAUAAAGAAACCUACAAUCUAAGCUUUGAACUUUAAUCCCAUUAAUAGAUUUUAUUCAGCUAUCGAAGAAAAUUACUAAAAAUUGAAAAGAUUAAAGUUUAUUGGAGCAAACAUUGCACAUACGUAUAUAUAAGGAGAGAGAAUUGACUUUUGCCAGUGAAAUUUAGCAGUGGCUCCGUAAAACUUUGAAUCUGAGGUCGAUCUCGUCAUCUCCGGAGAGGUCUAAGUUUGUUGGUCGGGCUAUUGGAGCAAUAGUGAUAGUAAUUUUGGGGGGUUAAAUACACUUUUCGUCACUCUACUCGACUCCGGUUUACAAAUACAUCACUGAACUCAAAAUUUUUACGGUCAACUCAUUGAACUAUAAUUUCUUUACAAAAAUCCGAAAAAUCGUCUACUCUGUUAAAAUAUUAACGGAAAAUUUAUGUGGCACAUGUAUAAUAAGCUGACAAGGAGAGAGAAUUUGAGUUGGAUAAUGAUUUAAAUUAAAAUAUACACAAUUCUAUAACAAAUAAUUAAAAGGAAGAUAUCCUUUUAAUUAUUCUCCAUUUCUCUCUCCUCUUCAACUAACAUAUUCUCCAUUUCUCUCUCCUCUUCAAAAGGAAGAUAUCCACAUCCAAAGGCAGAAAAAGUGAAACGGGUGGGGAGAGCCUUUUCACCUUUCCAAUUUUUCUCACCUCGACUGAAGAGAGAGAAAGUGAAGAAAAACACAGUCUAGAGACAUGGAAAUUAAGCAACAUAUGCACAAGGAGGAGGUGGAUAAAUAAAGAUCGGAUCAGUAUUUCAAUUUUUUGAUGGUAGAUCUGAUCGAAAGGGAAAGGAGGAAGAGGGCGGUUAGAUCAGAAAUCUGGCAGAAAGGAGGAAGAUGACGUUUCUCCUUUUCAAAUACAGAAAUCGUGGCGUUUCAUCCACUUUAUUACUUGAUCUGUUUAUCGUGGUAGAUGAUCCACUUCUCGGCGACGAGGAGGACGUCGGCGAUGGCCGAGAUCAGAUCUGUUGGGUCAAAUUAAUUUGUUGGUUCUGAGCUGAUUCACUAUGUUUGGUGCUUAAUUCUUUUAGUGGAAUCAGUUUGGUGUUAAUCUGGUUAUUUUAGUCGAUUAUUGUUAUUGUUUUGAAACUGAUUGAUUGGUUUAUUGUUGGGUUUUUUUGAAUUUCUUCCCCCAUCUCGCCGGCAACAAUGGCGACUACUUUUGAACACGCCGGAAUUUGGGUUUGUUCGGUGCAAAUUAGUUCUUGUUUUUGGUUUUGGGGUUUUCUGUUUUGUGUGGAUUAUUCUGUAUCGAUCGGAUAAUAUCGCUGGAAUCUGGGUUUUUUAGUUUAGUUGAAUGAUGAAUGUGAUAAUUUUGCCCCUGUAGCUACUAAAUGAAUGAUAAGUUUUAAUUUGUUUUUUUAGUUUGAUUUUAAUUGCCCAAAUUUUUUGUUUUUACCGUAAGACCCUAACUUAUUAUGAAUAAAAAUAAAUUUUUUCUAUUUAUUAUUUUGAAAUAAUAAAGAGUUAAUUUGAUAUAAUAUUUUGGUUAUGGGUGAAAUGUAUAAAUUUUAUAAAAUAAGCAAGUGGUUAUAAAAUAUUUAUUUUUAACGGGAAAUAUUCGUUUGGUCGUGGAAUAUUCUUGUUGUCAAGUAAUAUUCGUACGACGGCGCAACCAUUCGUGGGCCUCAUAACAGAAUAACUGUUGGAUGAAAAAAACGACAAGUUUGAGUUUUUAUAAAUAAUGGCGUAGUUGUUAUCGUUAACACUGUUGGAAUAUUCGGUGGUUCAAAUACGAUAAUACGCGUGGUUGCACAGUAGCACACGGUAUUGCACAGUAUUUUUGAAUUAUUAAUCCUUACGUAAGAAGGCACUACUCAAUAAUUGUUACAGUAGUUACUGUUCAAUAUUUUAUUUUAUUGAUUCAAUAAUUACUUCGUUGAUAUUUUAUAUUAUUGUUAUUUCAAUAAUUGUCACUGCACAGUAUUUCCUAUUAUCAGAUCAAUAAUUCAUAUUAUUUGAAUAAUAUUAUUAGAUAACAUUAUUGAUAAUGUCUAGAAAGUUCUGUCUAAGGAGAGGUUUGGUCACCUAAUUACGCGCCAGUAAGAAGAAAUCCUUAUUGGAAAGCCCCCUCUUUCCUGGGAACGGCCUGGUUGUCAUUAUUGUGAUUCUGUAAUAUUAUUUGUGAAUAAUUAUUUACUUAUUUAUAUGAUAAGAAAAUAUUUAUUUUAUGUGGAUAUAAAUGAUGAAUUUAUUUAUGUGGUUAUAAAUGAUGAAAUUAAUUUUGAUGUGUUUUAUCAGUAUCUUUGUCGGAAUGGAGAUAUUAAAAAUCAAAUCAAUAUUUUUACGAUAUAUUGCGUGAGUUAUAAUUUUUAAUUUGAUCGUUGGAUCGUUGUGAUUUUUGGAUAUGUUAUACAUAUAUAAGUUGAGUAUAUGUCCAUAAAUUUUGAACCGUUAAAAAUGAACGUAUGAUUUGUUAUGAAUUUUAAGAGGUGACUAAUUCAGAAAUUAGGUUUAUAAAUGAUUUUGGUGGAAAAUUCUAGAAUUGAGUGGGCCCCACUUGUGGUUGGUGAAGAAAUGUACUGAAUUUUAUUUUAAAUGUGGUGGGUGAUAAUAGUAGCAAAUAAAGUUAUCAGGUAGCAGGUCAAGUCUGCUUCGGCGUGCUAAUAUUUUCCUAUAAAUAGAGGGUUAAGUUAGAAUUGAAAAUCACACCAGAAACAUAAGCUUUCUCUCUUUCUCUCUCUAUAUUAUUGAGCGUAUUUUGUAAGUAUUUAGAUACUUUGAGAGUUGCUGUUCAGUACAAGUUUCAUUCAGCAUCACUUCCGAUCUUUCCUUCCGAUGUACUGAUUCUUUGAGGUAAGGGAUGUUAUUUUCUUCUUAAAUGAUAUUAUUUUCUUCAAUAUCAUUAUGUUGAGAUAUUGUUAUGAAGUUUAUUGUGGAAUUUCUACCUUUUUGUGUCGGGGUUACUAUUCACGUAUACGACACUAUUCACAAAUACGGCACUAUUCACCGAAAAAUAAAAUUUUCUCUUUUUCAUUCCAGAUGUCUUUUAUGGUUACUAUCUUUGAUUGUAUCCAUGUUUUGAUCUUUAUUCUACUUCACACUUGGUUAUUAUGGAAUAUUAUUGAAUUUGGAUAAAUCGAAAUACGAAUUCCUAAUAUUUAUCCUUUUGUCUCACUGGAUUCGUUCUCUAAAAUAUUUUUCAUCAUCCUCAGUCCUUAAUGGUUAUACUUGAUGAAUAUCUUUGGCCUGUAGUGCAAAGAUGAAUGAUUACCUGAUGAAUAUCUUUGGCCCGUAGUGCAAAGAUGAACAGGUGUUGAGAUGAACAUGACCAACUGGUGAUACAAAUGAAUAUAUUUGUCCCGUAGUGCAAAGAUGAAUAUUUGAUGCAAGAUGUAUAUUGAUUGAUGUUACAGGGAUAAAAUAUUGAUGAUGGACUUUUAAAUUCAUAGAUGAUAGUAGAUUUCAUUCUCUACUUAACUCUUCAAAUGAAUUGUUGUUUCCGUUGCAGUUGUUGAUCUAAAACUUGUUAUCUAUUGUAUUCUAUCAGAUUUUUCCCUGUUGAAGACUAAAGAUAAUUUGUUGUAUAUUAUCUUAGCCAUUAUAUUCUUUAAUGAGCUAAUUGAGCUCACCCUUUUCCUUUUUGUUCCAUUUUUCUUCAGGAUGUGAGAAUAUAGCAGGAUCUAGCCGGGGUAUGGAGUGAUGGUUCUAGAAAGGUGUUUUAUCAGUCCUCACUAUUUUGUAAAAUAGUGUAUGAAUAAUUGUAAUGAGGAUUUUAUUUGAGUGUUGAUAUUGUCUAGAAGACAAUAUUUGUAUUUAAACUCACAGUUAUUGUGUUGUCGUAUUUUGUACGACAAUUGUAUUAAUAAAGUUAUAAUUAUUUCUGUACCAUGUAUUUGACGACUUAGAAUGGUUGAUGUAUGUAAG